GUGUUCUUGAUUCAAUGUGCGUCACAAGCCACUGAGCAGGCACAAUGUGGUCUUACUGCACAACCACUGCUGGCAGUCAUGGUACCUGCUGCCUUCUGGUGACUGGGAAUGGACUUGGGCUAUAUUACAUUAAAAGCUUCCUUUAGAUUUUAAAUCUUCUUCCUUCUCUCUGCUCUGUUUGAGCAGCACAGCACCUCGAUAAUGACUUUGACUAGCCCCUACUUACUGAGAGAAGAAAAGCGAAGUGAACAAGACAAUUCUUUCCAUGGAGGACAGGAGGCCCACAGUGAGUCCAGAGGCUCAGGACAGUGUGGAUCUCCUCGUCUGCUCGCAGAGGCUGCAGGAAAGUGGAGCGGUCACAGCCUUUCACAGCUGCCUUUCCACUGAAACUCCUUCAAAAGAAAGCUAGCUAGUUGAACUCCAGUGUCAACUCUUUCUCUCAGAACCACAGACAAAGCACAAAUUUCCUGAUCACAGAGGAUCUCGGCCAAGGAACCUGCUAAACCUUUCUGCUCACAUCUUCCAGUGGACGGAACAGUUUCUCUGCGGUGGGCCCAGCGUUAGUGAUGAGAUUCCUGGAAUGCUGGUCACGGAGUCAUCUCAUAACCGAGCCUUCCAUUGGCUCCCUUGGGAUGAACGUUGCCCUAGGCUGUCAUGUGUUCUGCCUACUUCACCACACAACUGUGCCUAGGAAACAAUGUGUAAACACCACAGAUGAGACAAUAUGCAACAGGGACACUCCAACCUGACCAGCUACUCAUUGUGAUGACGCCAUCAUUUAUUUAAGUGGCUUUGGAAUUCUCCAAGAGGAGCCCUCUUCAGAGACGGGAGAAAGCAUGGAUUGGCCAUCAAGAACUUUUAGAAUCGUCUGCUAGUUUUACAAUGUGCUAGGCAAGCAAGUCAAGCCUGAACCAAAAUCCUCUUCCAAGCCCUUCAUGUUGAUGUUUUAUGAGAAAAGGCUGACACAACUCUACAGACUACCGCUGGAGACCCCUCAAAACCAGGGCGUUUGGACGAGCCUUCGUCUUCUCUUCUGGAUACUCUUAUUUUACCGUAUUUGACAUCUUCCAUUUUUGUUUCUGUAUUCACAAGAAUACAUAGUGUGGAGCUAACUAGGCUUAAGUUUCCUAUGUGUGCCCCGUGCUAUUCAUCAUGUAGCAAAAUCUUAACUUAUGGCUCCCCUCUAAUUUUCUGAGUGCCUGGUUUGGUUUUUUUUUUUUUUUUUUUUUUUUUGCUAUCAUUUCUACCUUAAGGGUUUCAGAAACCAUCGUUCUCUGUUGACGAUGAGCGCCUUCUAGUACAGCGUACUGUUUAUUCCACAUGAACUCGAAAAUAACUAGGGCAUCCUGGAAGGAAUCUUUCUCUUUGAUCAAAUUCUUGGUUCAUUAAAUUCCACUUCAUGACUAUA